GGAUUNNGAGCUUGCUCUUAUGAAGUUAGCGGCGGACGGGUGAGUAACACGUGGGUAACCUGCCCAUAAGACUGGGAUAACUCCGGGAAACCGGGGCUAAUACCGGAUAACAUUUUGAACCGCAUGGUUCGAAAUUGAAAGGCGGCUUCGGCUGUCACUUAUGGAUGGACCCGCGUCGCAUUAGCUAGUUGGUGAGGUAACGGCUCACCAAGGCAACGAUGCGUAGCCGACCUGAGAGGGUGAUCGGCCACACUGGGACUGAGACACGGCCCAGACUCCUACGGGAGGCAGCAGUAGGGAAUCUUCCGCAAUGGACGAAAGUCUGACGGAGCAACGCCGCGUGAGUGAUGAAGGCUUUCGGGUCGUAAAACUCUGUUGUUAGGGAAGAACAAGUGCUAGUUGAAUAAGCUGGCACCUUGACGGUACCUAACCAGAAAGCCACGGCUAACUACGUGCCAGCAGCCGCGGUAAUACGUAGGUGGCAAGCGUUAUCCGGAAUUAUUGGGCGUAAAGCGCGCGCNNGUGGUUUCUUAAGUCUGAUGUGAAAGCCCACGGCUCAACCGUG
rnacentral:rRNA from 1 species